CAUGGCUUAGGAAGAGCUGUAAACGGGAGCUUGCCGGCUGGCCACCAGCUCAGGGGCCCUGGGGGCGGCCUCCGGGUUCUGCUCCCUGUUCUUCCCUUUGACCAAUGUCACUCCUGGACAGAUAACGGGACCAAACGCCCUUCACUUCCUCGAGUCCUCAUGUAUGUCAUGGUUCCUCUUUUAGGAAAACAUGAGUACAAGACGCAAAGCAAAAGAAGAGACUAAAGGCAAAUUACCCCAUCACCUCGUUUCGUCCCUCCCCUUCGUUAUUAUAGAAGAGCUUGAUCAAAUUCCCUUUGUCGCGCCACACACACGCAGAGUAGGUGAAGGGCACCCUAAGACAACUUAUUUCUUUCCCGCCUCACAGAAAGCCUUUACGAAAUCCUCACACCAUCUCCGGACGCAAAGCUUUCGCAUUCAGCUUGAGGAGCUAAACCAUUUCAAGCCAAGGUUUCUUCACAGAUUAGGAUAAAGGAUGAAGAGAAGUAAACUGAAUUACUAAGGAUGCAACAUUAAUGGAGAGAGCCAAGUGAUGUAAAUCGUGGCUGGCCAUGAGUGGAUCUUGAGUGCCAGUUAUCUAGAGAAAUUCCACGUGGCUGUUCCAGGAUGGAUUAGGCACCAAUGACUCUCUUUCACCCUCGAGCUGGAAUCCUGCCCCUUUAACACCUUUCCAGAGAGAGGCAACCCAUGGAGGGUCACAGCAAGAUGGGAUGGUUGUGCCUGGUAGUAAAAAUAUGUAUCACUCUUCAUUUCAUCCAGCUUUGAAGCUUCUGCUAGCAGCUCACACAUGACCCCAAGGGCAGCUCCUCAAGUCUGCUAAAGAAAAGAAAAAAUAGAAAUCAAGAUGAACUGAAGAAAUAUGAAUCCAAAGAAUAGAC
rnacentral:lncRNA from 1 species